rnacentral:rRNA from 1 species
GAGGAGCGAAAGCGUGGGGAGCGAACAGGAUUAGAUACCCUGGUAGUCCACGCCGUAAACGGUGGGCGCUAGUUGUGCGAACCUUCCACGGUUUGUGCGACGCAGCUAACGCAUUAAGCGCCCCGCCUGGGGAAUACGAUCGCAAGAUUAAAACUCAAAGGAAUUGACGGGGCCCCGCACAAGCAGCGGAGCAUGCGGCUUAAUUGGACGCAACGCGAAGAACCUUACCAAGGCUUGACAUAUACAGGAAUACGGCAGAGAUGUCGUAGCCGCAAGGUCUGUAUACAGGUGGUGCAUGGUUGUCGUCAGCUCGUGUCGUGAGAUGUUGGGUUAAGUCCCGCGACGAGCGCAACCCUCGUUCUGUGUUGCCAGCAUUUAGUUGGGGACUCACAGGAGACUGCCGGGGUUAACUCGGAGGAAGGUGGGGAUGACGUCAAAUCAUCAUGCCCCUUAUGUCUUGGGCUGCACGCAUGCUACAAUGGCUGGUACAAACGGCUGCAAUACCGCAAGGUGGAGCGAAUCCGAGAAAGCCAGUCUCAGUUCGGAUUGGGGUCUGCAACUCGACCCCAUGAAGUCGGAGUUGCUAGUAAUCGUAGAUCAGCAACGCUACGGUGAAUACGUUCCCGGGGCUUGUACACACCGCCCGUCACAUCACGAAA